AUUUUACGCUAUGUACAUGAUAUUAUUGCUUUUUUUAUUCCUGAAAUUUCAGACCUGCAAGACAAAAGACUACUAUUACGUCAUAUUUUAUUGCUUAUUAUUGUUCAAAUCUUGAGUUAACACAUGCAGUUUUUCAAAGUUUCCCAAAGAAACAUAUGUAAAACGGUUUUCAACUUCAAUUUUGAAAGGUAAUUCUCUGAAACAUAAAACAUAUUAUAUUUUAUGAUCGAAAAAAAACAACAACAAUGCACCGUUGUACCAAAUUUUUAUUCACCAGCAGUGUACGCAGCAAGCGAUGACGAUGGACCCGCAACGUACACGACUGCAGUAACGAAACGGAAGUUUUGGGUAAAUUACAUUUGAAAAGUAAUAAAAUUACGUAACUUGUUACUUUAAAUAUUUUUAUUUAAAUUACAUUCGUGUACCCGACAUUAUUUUUACCACGUUACGUUAAUUUUUCAAAAAUUAUUACAAAAUAAGUUCAUAAUGAAUAUAUUAUGUAGUAGGUACAUUGAGCUGAUGCCUAAUUCUAUAGCAGAAAACGUUGGAAACGUUUGAUAACAGAGAAAUUCGGUCUGUCUUUUUGCUGAAAAAUGAAGUAAACGUUUGUAAAUAUUGCGAAAGCCAUGACCCAGCGUUUUGUCUGUUCAGUUCCAAUAACCAAGACCUACCUGGGUAUAAUAAUAUCAAACAUUUGUAUGUUUUAUAUAUCUGUGCGUUUCAAUCGUUGGCGUUCGCACUACAAAACGUUUUCCACUAUAGAAUUUGCUCGUUAAUGACUUAAUGUUUUACAUGAAGAAUAUGCAUAAGUAUUAAUUCCUAGAAUCUUUAAUAAUAUUUUUGAUUAUUAUUUAUUAUAAAAACUUUUGGAGUCGUAAAUAAAUGUUAUUGAUUUUAAUUUUUCUCUUAUAUCCUAGCCCCUAGUUUUUGUCUACAUUCGUAACUAAUUUCAAUAACGUCGAAAAAACACGUUACUUCAAAAGUUACUUUUAAAAAUUAAUUUCGUUACAAUUGCGUUAAUUUAAAUACAAUAUAAUGCAAUUACCACAGCGUUACUAGAAAAGUAAUUUCGUUCCAUUAAUUUGUAAUUUGCGUUACGUUACUACCCAAAAUUGCGGAGUGACCUGUAUUAUCCGUAUACAGUGUACACGUACUGUGCUUUAGUAGUACUAUCCUGUCCGGUGAGCUGGUCCUUAUCCUCUUCGCUUUCCAUAGAUAUUAUUUGGGACGCAAA